GACGAACGCUGGCGGCGUGCUUAACACAUGCAAGUCGAACGGAAAGGCCCUGCUUUUGUGGGGUGCUCGAGUGGCGAACGGGUGAGUAACAGGUGAGUAACCUGCUCUUGACUUUGGGAUAACUUCAGGAAACUGGGGCUAAUACCGGAUAGGAGCUCCUGCUGCGUGGUGGGGGGUGGAUAGUUUCGGCGGUUGGGGAUGGACUCGCGGCUUAUCAGCUUGUUGGUGGGGUAGUGGCUUACCAAGGCUUUGACGGGUAGCCGGCCUGAGAGGGUGACCGGCCACAUUGGGACUGAGAUACGGCCCAGACUCCUACGGGAGGCAGCAGUGGGGAAUAUUGCACAAUGGGCGGAAGCCUGAUGCAGCAACGCCGCGUGCGGGAUGACGGCCUUCGGGUUGUAAACCGCUUUCGCCUGUGACGAAGCGUGAGUGACGGUAAUGGGUAAAGAAGCACCGGCUAACUACGUG
rnacentral:rRNA from 1 species